AGUCCCCCAAACAGGACCCUCAUGAGGUCUGACGUUCCCGUCGGCGUUAUAUUGCACUUGAUAGGACUGUUCUUGGGCAGCACCCGCGGGUCACCCCUCGAUCCGUGGCAGUUCGUGACUUACAGAAGUCAUUAACAGCCAUUAGAAUCGGAAAUAAGUAAUAGGAAGAGUGCCCCAUCCUGAUAUCCGGGAAGGCCUCUGAUGUAAUGAGUGAGCAGACGACCGACCAAGCGAAUUUUUGACUUCUUGAAAUACUUUCUGGCCGAGGGCGCAGCGAAGCGUGCUUGCUUUAGGGCCAGGCACAUCGCAGAACAUACUUUGGGGCUUGCGUGGCAGCUGUUGUGGAGUUCAUGGUGUUGAAGCUGCUCAAGCGUGGCAGCAUGGAGGGGGGGGAGCUCACACGCGGGGAGGUACUCUCCCUGCUGGCAAGACUGGCCUUUGCAACUGCUGCUUCCUAUUUUACUGUGAAGCUUCUGGUGUCAGCUAUGGACCCAACCUCCAAACAGAAGAAGGAUGCCAAGAGGAAGGCCCAAGAAGUUAUGCAGAGGCUGGGCAUCAAGGAGAAGGUUUCAUUGAGUGAGUAUGAAAUGAUGAUUGCCAGCCAGCUGGUAGAGCCUUCACAGUUGAGCACAUCCUGGAAGGAUGUGGCAGGACUCUCAACUGUCAUCCGGGAGCUCAGGGAGACUCUCAUCCUGCCUAUCCAGCAGCGCACUCGCCUCCAGGGAUCCCGCCUCAUCCAGCCUCCCAAAGGUGUACUACUGCACGGCCCUCCUGGCUGUGGCAAAACAUUGCUGGCCCGAGCAGUGGCCAGGGAAGCUGGAGCACGCUUCAUCAACUUGGAUGUGGCUGCACUCACAGACAAAUGGUAUGGUGAAUCACAGAAGCUCUCAGCUGCAGUAUUCUCUCUAGCCUCCAAGAUCCAGCCAUGCAUUAUCUUCAUUGAUGAAAUUGAUUCAUUCCUGCGAGUUCGAGCCACAGGUGAUCACGAAGCUACUGCUAUGAUGAAAGCUCAGUUCCUGCAGCAGUGGGACGGCCUUGCUACAGAUAACAGCCGCUUUGUAGUGGUGAUGGGGGCAACCAAUAGACCUCAGGACGUGGACAGAGCCAUCCUUCGCCGCAUGCCCGCAGCCUUCCACAUUCCUUUGCCAGGUUUAGAACAGCGUAAGGAAAUACUGCAGCUUGUGUUACGUGAUGAACAACUGUCAGGUGAUGCAAAUAUUGCAGUCCUUGCCAGGGAAACAGAGACUUUUUCUGGAUCAGAUCUCAUGGAGUUGUGUCGUACUGCAGCUGUCUACAGGUUACGACAUCUACUGGAUGACCCAAGCACUGAGAGCUCACAAGCAUGCAGUACAGAGUCAGAGCAGGCAGAGCCCUUGCGACCAAUUACAAUGGCCGACUUUAAACAGGCACUGGGGAAGAUGCAAGGCUCAAGUGUAUACAAUAGACAGGCUGAAACUCUACUUAAGAUGGACUUGGACUGAGUGAGGUUAUGUAGAAACAUGAGUUAGAUGAAAAGCAAAAUGAGAGCAUGGUAGAGUGACCAAGUGGUCCUCCAUCAGUCAAAGACCUCAGAGUGGUUUAGUCUUAUCAGUGUCAGCUGGGAUACAAAAUAGAGCAUUAGUGGUACCUCUAGAUUGCAUGCAAUUGCUUGUACUCUGGUGCAGUGUGUGGUUAUAUUCAGGUUUUAUGAGAAGCUAAUACAGAAGUAAGAUAAAUUCAUUGUCAAGAAUAAUUCUGAAGAUACAGUUUUAUGUUUCUGGAAUAAGUGCACCAACAGUUUUGUUAACCAGUAUAAUAUAUUUUAUAUAACCUUGGUUUAUAUAUAUAUAUAUA
rnacentral:misc_RNA from 1 species